rnacentral:rRNA from 1 species
UACGUAGGGCGCAAGCGUUAUCCGGAAUUAUUGGGCGUAAAGAGCUCGUAGGCGGUUUGUCGCGUCUGCCGUGAAAGUCCGGGGCUCAACUCCGGAUCUGCGGUGGGUACGGGCAGACUAGAGUGAUGUAGGGGAGACUGGAAUUCCUGGUGUAGCGGUGAAAUGCGCAGAUAUCAGGAGGAACACCGGUGGCGAAGGCGGAUCUCUGGGCCUUACCUGACGCUGAGUGAGCGAAAGCCAGGGGAGCAAACGGG